rnacentral:rRNA from 1 species
GAUGAACGCUGGCGGCGUGCCUAAUACAUGCAAGUCGAGCGAACGGACGAGAAGCUUGCUUCUCUGAUGUUAGCGGCGGGCGGGUGAGUAACACGUGGAUAACCUACCUAUAAGACUGGGAUAACUUCGGGAAACCGUAGCUAAUACCGGAUAAUAUUUUGAACCGCAUGGUUCAAAAGUGAAAGACGGUCUUGCUGUCACUUAUAGAUGGAUCCGCGCUGCAUUAGCUAGUUGGUAGGGUAACGGCUUACCAAGGCAACGAUGCAUAGCCGACCUGAGAGGGUGAUCGGCCACACUGGAACUGAGACACGGUCCAGACUCCUACGGGAGGCAGCAGUAGGGAAUCUUCCGCAAUGGGCGAAAGCCUGACGGAGCAACGCCGCGUGAGUGAUGAAGGUCUUCGGAUCGUAAAACUCUGUUAUUAGGGAAGAACAUAUGUGUAAGUAACUGUGCACAUCUUGACGGUACCUAAUCAGAAAGCCACGGCUAACUACGUG